UUUAUUCUGAAAGAGAACAAUGGCAGAGAAACAAAAGGAAACUCAUUUGGAUAUUCCAGGACAGAUUUAGCCCUUGGAGUUCUAGCUCCUUCCCUGAAGUUGUUGAAAGGCCUUUGAUACUCUGAAGAAAAGACAACAGAAUUCUUCACCAGUCAUCCAUUAAUCAAUAAAUCAACAUUUUUUGCUAUCUAUAAUACCAGAUAUGCAGAUGGGUAAACUGAAGCUCAGAAAGAUGAAGUGACUUGCCUGAAGUUGCACAAGUAAAUGGUUAAAUUGGGAUUGUAUAGCAGAAAGACAACCAGGGACAUAUCGUUUGAUACAAGUUUAAUGUCCCAUUUUCUGGUGAAAAAUAUAUGUGAACUUUGAAAGUG